GUGGGAAUACACAUGGGCGAAAGCCUNGAUCUAGCCAUGCCGCGUGAGUGAUGAAGGCCUUAGGGUCGUAAAGCUCUUUCGCCAGGGAUGAUAAUGACAGUACCUGGUAAAGAAACCCCGGCUAACUCCGUGCCAGCAGCCGCGGUAAUACGGAGGGGGUUAGCGUUGUUCGGAAUUACUGGGCGUAAAGCGCACGUAGGCGGAUCAGAAAGUUGGGGGUGAAAUCCCGGGGCUCAANCCCCGGAACUGCCUCCCAAAACCUCCUGGUCUUGAGUUCCGAGAGAGGUGAGUGGAAUUCCC
rnacentral:rRNA from 1 species